GGGAGUUUGGUCUAGUGGUAUGAUUCUCGCUUUGGGUGCGAGAGGCCGCAGGAGUCCCGCAACUUCCC